GACGAACGCUGGCGGCGUGCCUAAUACAUGCAAGUUGAGCGCUGAAGGUUGGUACUUGUACCAACUGGAUGAGCAGCGAACGGGUGAGUAACGCGUGGGGAAUCUGCCUUUGAGCGGGGGACAACAUUGGGAAACGAAUGCUAAUACCGCAUAAAAACUUUAAACACAAGUUUUAAGUUUGAAAGAUGCAAUUGCAUCACUCAAAGAUGAUCCCGCGUUGUAUUAGCUAGUUGGUGAGGUAAAGGCUCACCAAGGCGAUGAUACAUAGCCGACCUGAGAGGGUGGUCGGCCACCUUGGGACUGGGACACGGCCCAACCUCCUUCGGGAGGCAGCCGUAGGGAAUCUUCGGCCAUUGACGGAAGUCUUACCGGGCAACGCCGCGUGAGUGAAGAAGGUUUUCGGAUCGUAAAACUCUGUUGGUAGAGAAGAACGUUGGUGAGAGUGGAAAGCUCAUCAAGUGACAGUAACUACCCAGAAAGGGACGGCUAACUACGUG
rnacentral:rRNA from 1 species